AGCUUUGAGGUGUUGUACACGUCAGAUUGCAAAUCUGAAGAAGCAGGUGAAGGCCUGCCGGAGCUU
rnacentral:tRNA from 1 species